GUGGGACAGGCUGUGCCCUCAGCACACAGGGAGAUGGCACGGGCUGUGCCCUGAGCACACAGGGUCUCUGCUGGUGCAGUGACAGCCCCUGUGCCUGCCCCUGUCAGCAGCUGCUCUGGGAAGUGCCACCUCACACCUGCUGCAGGAGUCCCCCACGUUUUCGGGGUACAGCAGGCUGUUCAGGCACUGAAUUGUCUCUGCAUCCCUGGUGAGCAGAGCAGCAGCACAGGAGUCAGUUCAGCCACGGUGGAAGGACUACAGGCUCAAAGGCAAAUUCCUCUGGAAAAGAUGGUGCCUUCUCUGGGGUUGGAACAGAAAGAGCUGGUUGGUACUUGGUCAUGGUGCUGCAAGAAACACACGAAGUCCUUUCCCCUUUGGAGAUGACAUGGAUGGGAAAUGGCUCAUUGUAGCAACAGGAGACAACAACAAUUGCAUCACGGUAAAGCAAACAUCAAAGCACAGUCCACGCCAAAGAGCUGGGGGAAAAAUUCAUCUGUGACACUCUGACUUGAAGUCCAGCUUGGGAGGGUUUUGGCAACGCAAGAAUGAAGAGCAAGCAGUUGCCCUUUCCCAAACCUUGUUUGUCUUGGUGUUUGUGUGAAGCAGCCUGGGCUGAGGACACGAUGGACCUGCAGC